rnacentral:rRNA from 1 species
AUUGAACGCUGGCGGCAGGCCUAACACAUGCAAGUCGAGCGAGCAGCAGAGGGGGACGUGAUGUCAGUGAAACGGACAGAUGCUGGUGGAUAACGACUAGAAACGGAAGCUAAUACCGCAUACCAUCAGAUGUGCCCAUAUUGGAUUGGCUAGUAGGUGGGGUAACGGCUCACCUCGGCGACGAUCCCUAGCUGGGUUGGGAGGAUGACCAGCCACACUGGAACUGAGACACGGUCCAGACUCCUACGGGAGGCAGCAGUGGGGAAUAUUGCACAAUGGGCGCAAGCCUGAUGCAGCCAUGCCGCGUGUGUGAAGAAGGCCUUCGGGUUGUAAAGCACUUUCAGCGGGGAGGCGUUACCCGCAGAAGAAGCACCGGCUAACUCCGUGCCAGCCGCCGCGGUAAUUC